AUGUCCCCGGACACGCCAUCGAACUCUAGAUCUGACACCCCCGCACGACAACGACGUCGAAGGAGGAAACCAAAACUGUCAGCCACCAACCAAAAACCUAGCACGGGAUGCACCAUCUUCCAGCUGUCACUUGCGCAGACAACCGUCUGCGCGUACUCCUGGACGAUAAAACCUCCCUGCUCCACCAUGACGUCGGAGACAACGCCACAGCAACGGGGACAGAGCAGAAGGAGAGACACACCUGAUGGAGUCCCCGCCGCCACCUCGCCGACACCAUCCAUGAACCCUAACACAGCCGAUCUGAAGGAUCGGCAAACACACGAUGCCAUCAACUCCGAGACGCCGCCAUGA
rnacentral:rRNA from 1 species